AAACUAUCGCCAACGUCAAAAUGACACCACUGAAAAAUCCAAAGCAUCACUACUAGUCGCAAGCCACCGGAAUCCCCAAUCACCUGGCCACCUCUGCCUCUCUCUCUCUCUCUUUCCCCUUACUUCUCCCCGCCUAUAAGCUCCAACACCUCUCGGAUCCCCUGCAAAUGGCAGCCACUUUCCCCACUGCCGCCUCAACUCCAUUAAACUCGGAGAGAUAUAGGAAAUAGCAGUAUAAGCGAAAGAUUUGUUAAUUUCUUCUAGUAUGUGAGAUUACCAGUGAAGUUUCGGAGUUUGAUAUUGGCUUGAGCGCGAUCUGCGAAGAGCUCGGCGGCGGUAGGGCUCAGCGCAAUGGCUCAGUGUAGAGGUCAACAGCGAGCUCGAAGUAGUCAUCGAUGAAAGCCUCUUUCGCCUUCCUCUCCAGAUCGGAAGACGCCAUUGAUGGGGGAUUAUCAGAACUCGCUCACAGCUGUGGAUUGAUUAGAGAAUGAAGAGUAGACGACGACUUGAUGGUGUAUGAUGUGGGGGAGGUGAUCCGCUCCUCCGGCUAGAUUGGUCCUUUGCAUUUUUUAGGGCGUUAAUUUGAUGAUCAAAGAUUGUUUUCAGGAAGCAAAUUUUAACAAGUUUGCUUCAAAUGCUAGUUGUGCAACCGAAACGUGGGGAUUGCCGUGAGAUAAUUGGCCCUUGAAACAACAAGGCCAAAAUACUCAUCCAUGUCCAGCUCCUCUGGUGACAUAUCAUUUGGCAGCUGCCAAUCGAAGCAGUGGACUAACUGUGACACGAUCAGUCGAACUUGGAUGAAGCCCAGUUGCAUUCCGGGGCAACUUCUCCUCCCAGAACCAAAUGGGAGGAGCUGGAAAUGUUGUCCCCUAACAUCAAUGUCACUGCCAAUGAACCUCUCCGGAAUGAACUUCUCCGGAUCAGUCCAUACAUUUGGAUCCCGCCCAAUUGCUGAGGAAUCAACAGUGGACCCACUGGACGCAGCCUGAAGGUUUCCUUGACAACCAUGUUGAGAUAUUCGAGUUGGUCGAGGUCGGAGAAUAUCCACUCAACCGAUGCUGCUGCUGCGUCCAUUGAAGCUGUGAGCAAGUCCUGCAAAUAAAAUUCGUCAUCAACUUAUUGCUGAGCAAAUGUUUAUCCAAAAAAGAUGUAGAAUUAUUCAUUGGACCAUGUGCUUACCAUCAUAAUGGCCUUGAUAUUACGUCUGUCGAACUGAAAUUCAGAUUCUCCACUUUGCAUUAUGGACAUCAUGGUAUCAACAAUGUCUUUGGCCUGCUCAGGACGAUCCCCUGCUCGAGCAUGGUCUUCUAUAAUUUUCUCAAAAAAUCAUCAAAAACUUUUGCGAGUGCCUUCAUCUUCCUUGUCAUCCCUUGGAGAUCCAAAACUCCAAGGAAAGGAAAGUAAUCACCCAAAUUGGGAACUGCUACUAGUUUAGUCCAUUCUUGGAUCACAGUUUUGAAGCCUCUCUCAUCUAUGUCCUUGUCAGCAUAUUUCUUGCCAAACACUAGUCUGCAGCUCAUCUCUGCGGUCAGGGACGCGACCUUGGCACUAAGAUCAACCGCAACGUGUUGUCGGGAUGCUUCCUUGAGGGAUUCAACAAAAUGAGCAAGCGUCUCCCUUCUCAUAGGCCGGAAAGAAUUGAUCUUAAGGGGGCUGAGCAGCUCCACGGUGCAUAGCUUGCGCAUGUUCCGCCAAUACGGACUGUAAGCCCCAAAUGCCAGAUUCCUCUGAUCCCAUGAGAGAUACUUAGCAGCCUGAUGAGGUGGUCUGCUGGCAAAAACAAGAUCGUGUGUUUUGAGGAAAAGCUCAGCUGCCUCAGGAGAUGAAACGACGAUGAUUGGAACGAACCCAAAUCGCAUGUACAUAAUGGGGCCGUGGUCUUUGGCAAUCCUUUGCAGAUCUUGGUGAGGAUUCUUCCCCAGCAUGUGUAGAUUUCCCAGAAUAGGGACCCCUUUUGGACCUGGAGGCAGCAGCUUCUUCCUCCUCGUAGCCAACGAAGCCAAAGAACCAGCUAAAAUGGCCACGACCGUAAGCCAAAACCAAGUAAGUUCCAUUUUUUUGCAAAAUUUAUUGUGUGAUUGAGGAUUGAUAUAUCUUUUUAUAAGCUUGUUUGAAUGGAUUUAUAGAUGUGUGUUUCCAUUCAUAUCAAUUUUGCUACGUCUUUUCCAUGUUAUGAAUUUAAUGUUAAUGUGGGUUUGCCUA